rnacentral:rRNA from 1 species
UAUUGGAAACGAUAGCUAAUACCGCAUAAUGUUUACGGACCAAAGGGGGCUUACGGCUCCCGCCUCGAAGAUGAACCUAAGCGAGAUUAGCUUGUUGGUGAGGUAAUGGCUNACCAAGGCGACGAUCUCUAGCUGUUCUGAGAGGAAGAUCAGCCACACUGGGACUGAGACACGGCCCAGACUCCUACGGGAGGCAGCAGUGGGGAAUAUUGCACAAUGGGGGAAACCCUGAUGCAGCCAUGCCGCGUGUGUGAAGAAGGCCUUAGGGUUGUAAAGCACUUUCAGUUGCGAGGAAAGAUUGAUGGUUAAUACCCAUCAGUUGUGACGUUAACAACAGAAGAAGCACCGGCUAACUCCGUG